rnacentral:rRNA from 1 species
CUACAGAGGGUGCGAGCGUUAAUCGGAAUUACUGGGCGUAAAGCGCGCGUAGGCGGCUUAUUAAGUCAGAUGUGAAAUCCCCGGGCUCAACCUGGGAACUGCAUCUGAUACUGGUAAGCUAGAGUUUUGGAGAGGGCAGUAGAAUUUCAGGUGUAGCGGUGAAAUGCAUAGAGAUCUGAAGGAAUACCAGUGGCGAAGGCGACUUCCUGGCCAAAAACUGACGCUGAGGUGCGAAAGCGUGGGUAGCAAACGGGAUUAGAAACCCCAGUAGUCC